CUGGCAUUCAAUUUGGUGAUGUCAGAAGACAAGAGUUUUGCUAGUUGAAGAUAUAUAGAUACACGCUUAUAUAUGUAAUCACGGUGUCAGUAAACAGCAUCUGCUGGAUUAUGAUAAGAGCACAAAAUGCAGAGUUUACACACUCAGACCACGGACCGGCCUCAGGAGUAGAUUUUGAUUGCUGUCAGCAACUGGAGCUCAUGGCUGUCUGGGAAGAAAUUGAAUUUGAAAAGGGGACAGGCGACAGCAACAUGAUUUCAACAUGGAUGGGAGAAAGAGGCCCCAAGGUGUAAUGGGGAAGAACAAGAAACUACUGGAAAUUCUGCCCUGGAAGAAUCUGAUAUGAGGAAACUGAGGCACAGAGCUAUAGAACCUCGGCAGAAGUCAGAGCUUAUGUUGACAAGAUCAUUUCCAACCCAACCAUCUCGGGGAGUGAACUGGCAGCUUGGCAAUGCUCCAGCAUGAUUCUACACUCAGGCCCCCCAGCUAAGCUUCCUGAAGAGCCAGG
rnacentral:lncRNA from 1 species